AGUCACAUCUCUCUGAGCAAGUCGUUGACAGCAAUGCGUACGACCAGCAGCCUCAUUGAUUUAAUACAGUAGGCAGGCAGCCUAAUUACGACGGUGGCAUAGUCGUCGUGUGCGGUGCUUCCAUGUUCCAUCACGCAGCUCGACCUCGGCGCUUCGCUUCUACCCCUCUCUUCACCGGGCCAACGUCGAGCGAGCGAGCCUUGUGAUGAUGACGUGCCGCAGCGUCCGAUGGCCGGCCGGCGCGGCCGUUCGCUGCUUGCCUUUCGCCGACGAGCAGGCCGGCUCCGGCCGGCAUCUCUUUCUGUUCACGUUUGGAUGGACGAUGAGCAGAUGAUCUGAUGAUGACCACAAAAGCACAGCUUAAUCGGAGGUGUUCUGUAGACUCGCUCUGCAUAUGUAAUUAACCGGACGCGCCCAAUAGGCCCCGGGAAUCAGCGAACUACGCAAUCUCUACAAGUUAGACCUCUCCUUAAGCAUCGACGCAGAAGACAGAAGAGGACGAGCUAUCGCGAGUCAUGUAUUCAUGAAUUUUGUAAAAUGUCAAAAUUAAUAAAAUAUGUGUUCUCGCAAAUGUGUGCAUGUGUCCUUUGUGUGCAAAGUUUAUUAUUUUCCUCGUCCUCGUUUUGUUUUUGCGAACACCAAGGAAUACACUGUAACUGUAAUCUUGUAGUACUCCCGUGUUCAGUACACACAGUAGUGGUAGCAAUAGCAGUAGCAGUAGCAGGUUUUCAAAAAACGGUAGUAGUAGUAGUAACAAACAUGAAUACACAUGGCCUUUCUUUUUCAUUUUUUUUAACGGCCCAAAGUGCACACCUCUGAACGAAAAGAAAGACCCAAAACAAGAGGUAACCAACUUUGUCAAAGGAGCAGGAGGGUAGAGAAAGAUGAAGUUAUCUUUUCAGAAAAGAAAAGAAAGGUGAAGUCGAAUGAUGUGCCGUAUCAUCAAAAGUAGUAUAUUUAAGAGGACUAGGUAUACAGUAUUUCCAAGAAUAAGAAAUGUGUCGAACCUAGAGCAAAUUGGAGGAUGGUGCACUUGUCUUAUGAGUGCAUAGAGUUGUGGUAUGGAGGUUCAAAUAUGGUGAAAAUUUAGACAACUAAAAAGCUGCGCCUAUUUUUGUUAUACAUACUUUAUUAUAUACACAUUUUUUAAAACAAUCUAGGUAAGCUAAAUUCGUGAUUUUGUUGUUUUCGUCUAGGUGUCAGUUUGUAUCCUGUUAUUAUGAAAUUAUUAUUUAUUAUUUAAGUAAAAUAUUAUUUUUGGUGUUGAAGUAGUUUAUCUUGGCAAUAUGUACAUCCAUAUCGCUAAACUAAACGGGCCUCCGGAUGCCUGUGUUACUGUUACCACAUGGGGUCCAUGUCAUGUGUCGCCUGUCACCAUGUCUCGGGCAUCGAAUGGUCCCGUUGGCUCCACACAGUGCGUAACAGAGGUCGCGUCCGGCCUACGCGAAGAUCUGCAGGUCGUUCUUCACCGCCCAAAAAAACAAUUACGCCACGUUAGCCUCAGGGUCUUACACCCCAUUCCUUGCCUCCAGCCAUCCAACGCCACCGCCGCCGCCUGUCUCUGUGGAGCCCCUGCCCAUCCGUGGCCGACUGGCCGUCCUCGAGUCCUCCUCCGCCACCUGCCAACUCCCACACAGCAGCCCCGGAUCCUUUACUUUCUCGGCUCUGAUCGCCGGCGCCGGUGCCUCCGUCUCCAUCCAAAUUGAACGCUUCGGCCACGGCGGAGCUCUAAGUGCGACUGCACGGUGACGGACCCGUCCGGCCAGAAGGACGCGGAGAACACAAUGCGGCAGUUGCAACGACUUUGUGCGAAAGGCGUCGGCCAUCAUGAUGAAGCUUCCACAGCUACAUUCCUCCUUCCGCUCUAACAUUCAGCAUCGCUCUACAUGCUCUGCACGGUGAUGGACCCGUCUCCAGGAGGCAAGCCAUCUGCAGCAACCCCGGCGUUGCCAGUUCCUGUAGCCGUACACGUCGUCUCCUCUUCCAAAUAGAGGUGGAUUCACUCUCAUUGGCCUCGGCAGUACUAGAUUAUUUGUUUAAAACAUUAGAUUUGGAAUGUUGCUAGAUGGGAUUUUUGUUCUGGGUUUUCUCCCCCUAUGGAGACGACUUCGGAUAUGGUGGGUUUGUUUCUUGGUUACCUGGUGGUCUCGCCGGAUUUGCUGGAGUCGUGCUUUGGGUCAUCGAUGGCGACAGGUGAGUGGGUGGCCGGAGUUCGAAGCUUGACGGCCGAUGUUCUUGUAUCGCGGAUUUCUUGCGGUCUUCCUAUGCGUGGAGUCGGCUUCUUGGUCCGGAAGGAGGAGAAAGAUGGUGGAUCGACGAUCUGGCGCAUGAUGACGAAGUUCGGUGAGCAGCACUGGCAGCUGGGAGCCUCUUUGUUCUCCUUUGCCCAGGCAGAGGGUGGACUGGAUUCCCCUUUAAUGGGGCUCUUUUUCGGGUUGGUGACGUCGUCAGCAGCUACGGAUUCAGUCCGGAGCAUCGACUUCGUUGGUGCUGCCGGUUCUGUCCUCUUCCAAGUUCUCGACGGCGACGGCCGAUGCACGCCAGAGGGAAGAUGGGUUGCGGCUACAAGAUGGAGGUCCCUGUCGACAUCUUGGUUGAGUUCUUGUCCUUGGCGUGGUGCUCUUUCUCUGGCUCUGGAGGAGCCAGAGGGAGUGCGAUGUCCAGGAGAUCUGCUUCAAGACCCAAGGAUCUAUGUUUCAAAUUUGAACUUUCUUAGGGUCUUGUACAUAAGUUUAAAUCACUAGAGGAUAUAUGCUAAGGACUUGUUUGUAUUUUAUACUUCCUCUAGGGUGUUGGUUGUAAGAGCCUUGCUCUUUUAAUAUACGGGAUCCAGUCCCUUCGCAAAAAA